GCGGAGGUCAAUCGUGGAUCAGGGAAAGCGAAGGCAGGAGCGUGAGGUGAACUGAAUUUCAGGAACAAGAGAUGAUGGCUGUAACUCAGAAGGUAGAGCAGGUCGUCUGCUAAUUCGAAGGUUGGUGGUUUAAAUAUUCUUGAGCAAGGUACUAAUCCCAGUUUUCUCUCUAAUGCAUCUAUUGUGGAUGACUGAUAUGAAUGUGUUCUAAUGUUAGCUGGGAAGCACUUAUAAAGAAAAUGUUUGUUUUUUUAAAGUGCUGUUGUGAAAUGGGGCAAGUUGUAUUAAUUUGAGUGCUCAGGCAGAGUAGAAAAGUACCAUAUAAGAACCGGAAGAUUUACCAAAAGCACAUGGGUGCAGCUUACACAGGGGCCAAGUCCCAGCAAGCCCCAGUCCCAGCCAUGCAUACACACACAACACAGCCACCCUGUAGUGUAGUGGGCACAUUUUAAACAACAAAUUGCUUUGCAAGAGGAAGCUGCCACACUGACCCAACUCUCAGCGAAAAGGUGAUCCAGGUGAUCGAUAUAU